rnacentral:rRNA from 1 species
CCUACGGGGGGCAGCAGUGAGGAAUAUUGGUCAAUGGACGAGAGUCUGAACCAGCCAAGUAGCGUGAAGGAUGACUGCCCUAUGGGUUGUAAACUUCUUUUAUAUGGGAAUAAAAUGUUCCACGUGUGGGAUUUUGUAUGUACCAUAUGAAUAAGGAUCGGCUAACUCCGUGCCAGCAGCCGCGGUAAUACGGAGGAUCCGAGCGUUAUCCGGAUUUAUUGGGUUUAAAGGGAGCGUAGGUGGAUUUUUAAGUCAGUUGUGAAAGUUUGCGGCUAAACCGUAAAAUUGCAGUUGAAACUGGCAGUCUUGAGUACAGUAGAGGUGGGCGGAAUUCGUGGUGUAGCGGUGAAAUGCUUAGAUAUCACGAAGAACUCCGAUUGCGAAGGCAGUUCACUGGACUGCAACUGACACUGAGGCUCGAAAGUGUGGGUAUCAAACAGGAUUAGAUACCCCAGUAGUC